AGUGGACGCUGGCGGUAGGCCUAACACAUGCAAGUCGAACGGCAGCACAGUAAGAGCUUGCUCUUACGGGUGGCGAGUGGCGGACGGGUGAGGAAUACAUCGGAAUCUACUUUUUCGUGGGGGAUAACGUAGGGAAACUUACGCUAAUACCGCAUACGACCUACGGGUGAAAGCAGGGGAUCUUCGGACCUUGCGCGAUUGAAUGAGCCGAUGUCGGAUUAGCUAGUUGGCGGGGUAAAGGCCCACCAAGGCGACGAUCCGUAGCUGGUCUGAGAGGAUGACCAGCCACACUGGAACUGAGACACGGUCCAGACUCCUACGGGAGGCAGCAGUGGGGAAUAUUGGACAAUGGGCGCAAGCCUGAUCCAGCCAUACCGCGUGGGUGAAGAAGGCCUUCGGGUUGUAAAGCCCUUUUGUUGGGAAAGAAAAGCAGCAGGUUAAUACCCCGCUGUUCUGACGGUACCCAAAGAAUAAGCACCGGCUAACUUCGU
rnacentral:rRNA from 1 species